rnacentral:misc_RNA from 1 species
GAUGAAGAACGCAGCGAAAUGCGAUACGUAAUGUGAAUUGCAGAAUUCAGUGAAUCAUCGAAUCUUUGAACGCAUAUUGCGCUCUCUGGUAUUCCGGAGAGCAUGCUUGUUUGAGUAUCAGUAAACACCUCAACUUCCAUAUCUUUUUUGAAAUGGGAGUUGGACUUGAGUGAUCCCAACGCUUUUCCUCACCGAAAAGUGGCGGGUUACUUGAAAUGCAGGUGCAGCUGGACUUUUCUCUGAGCUAUAAGCAUAUCUAUUUAGUCUGCCUAAAAAACAGAUUAUUACCUUUGCUGCAGCUAACAUAAAGGAGAUUAGUUCUUGUGCUGACUGAUGCAGGAUUCACAAAGACAGGCUUCGGCCGACUUUGUAAACUCGAUCUCAAGUCAAGUAAGACUACCCGCUGAACUUAAGCAUAUCAAUAAGCGGAGGA